ACGCAUACAGCGAGUACUUCCCAGCUCCGAGAGGCAGCUGGUAAUCAGCAAUAUGCGUCGUGAUGGGGAUAGAUCUUUGGAAUUAUAGAUCUUGAACGAGGAAUUCCUAGUAAGCGCAAGUCAUUAGCUUGCGCUGAUUAAGU
rnacentral:rRNA from 1 species